UCGUGACAGUAUGUGAUAACCUUUGUAUGCUUGCAAUGUGCAAUGAUGGAAAUGUACUGGGUAAAUGGAGUUGUACAGCUUUAGUUCUCAGGCUGAGAAUUGUCUACACCUGCUGAUAGUUACACAGGCUCAAGGUCGAGAUAGUAGAGUGAGAAAUCUCAAUCUAGACAUGUUUUUCUCAUUGUGUCUAAUACAAUGCAACAAUGUUACAAUGUUAAGGAAUGAUUGACGGACCACCCUAUAUUUGGAGAGCUUGCCGGGAGUGAGUGACCACUACGUCUGGAUUAUCUUCGUCCCGCUGUGCAGCGCAUCAAAUUAUAAGGAAAACUCAGGAGGUACCAGGUGAGGACCCCGACUACCUGCCUGUGGAGGUUGGAGACUGGGUCCACAAGAGAAAAUGGAACCAGCCAAGAUGGAUGGGGCCAUUCAAGGGAAUUUGAAGAUGGCUUUCGUGACAUCAGCUCACAGGAGAUGAUUGAGCCAGACACAGCCUGAAACAAGAGGCAGAAGCAGAUGUGAGUCGAGACCAAAGACUUGAAAAAGAUGAAGGGCAAGACCAAAGCCCUGAAGAACCAACUGUUUACAUGAUCAGCAAGGUUAUGUUGUAAAUAAACAAACCCUUAGGGGAUAAAAGAGAGGGAAGAUGACGGCAUGUGGUCAUUGGUGGUUGACUGUGUUGGCUCUAUCCACAUUACUUGUUUGUGUGGGUGAAGAUUGCCCUGUCAACGUGUGGGUAAAGUUUGUUUGGGGACACUUUUCUACCUAAGUCUCAAAUGGGACUGCGGUGUUAAUUUUGUCUAAACCCAAAUCCACGAGUGAGUUGUUUGGUUCAAUGAGUAGACCAACGGCAAAGACAGAUCAGGCCUGUGGACCAAAAUCUUGCUUGAUAUGUCUAAGCUCUCUAAUACUCUCAGCCCUAGUGAUGAGUGUUCUGUCCAGGAUGGGUAAAUGGUUCACUGGGAAAUUUGGAAAUGUUAAGGGCCAGAUUUUAAUGGGUAUCUUAUCAUUUGUAGUUCCUGUGUUGAUAGGCUUUUGUUGUGUUUAGAUUUUUUGUUGUCUUAGUAAAUGGGCAGUGAAGAAGACCAUGCCUGGUUUAAUGGUAUUGGCUUUACCUGCCUCCUAUGAUGCCACUGGUGUUGACCCCAACUAUGACCCUCUUGCUUGCCCAACUGACCCAGAGGAUGAUUCCCAUACUACCUACAGUAUAUGUGAAUGGUUAAAGUUCCAGAUGUCUAACGUCGAUUUCUGUACAUGGUUAUAUGAGACUAGAUAGUCUCAAACAGGGGAAUGUUGAGGGUUACCCUGGGGGUCAGGUGUGGGGCUACACCAAUGCCAUGAUUACUAUAUAUGUGAUAACCUUUGUAUGCUUGCAAUGCGCAAUGAUGGAAAAGUACUGGGUAAAUGGAGAUGUACUGCUUUAGAAUUGUCUGCACCUGCUGAUAGUCACGCAGCCUCAAGACCGAGAUAGUAGAGUGAGAAACCACAGUCUAGACAUGUUUUUCUCAUUUUACAUAUUUUGUAUCUAAUCCAAUGCAACAAUGUUAAGGUACGAUUGACAGUAAGUUGUCCACACCAACUAGUAAAAAGGAGGGUUGUUUCCUGUUUCGCCACACAGAUCUUUACUAUAGACUACUGAGGUAUUCUGUAUGUGAAUCUCUGUCUGCAAUUGCAUUUUAUUACUAAAGAGUUUCAUACCAAG